rnacentral:snoRNA from 1 species
CCUGCCUCUAGAAUCCCUGCAGGUGUGGCUGCUGUGUCUCAUUUGCACCAGUAGGUGGCAGAGAGGCUACAUCCACCCUCAGCGCUCUGACCUAUGAAUAUUCCCAGGAAAAAGCUAGCCUGAGAUA